rnacentral:rRNA from 1 species
AGAGUUUGAUCCUGGCUCAGGAUGAACGUUGGCUGUGUGCCUAAGGUAUGCAAGUCGAACGAUCCUUUUCUGAAUUUCAAAGACUUUGGUCAAUGAUUUUCUAUUUAGGAUAGUGGCAAACGGGUGAGUAAUACGUAGAUAACUUGCCUUGAAGUCGGGAAUAGCUCGUCGAAAGACGGGGUAAUAUCCGAUAGUCUCUAUUCACGUUAAGUGUUUUAGAGUAAAGUUUUUCGCUUCAAGAGAGGUCUGCGUCCUAUCAGCUAGUUGGUGAGGUAAUAGCUCACCAAGGCUAAGACGGGUAGCUGGUGUGAGAGCACGGUCAGCCACCGCGGAACUGAGACACGGUCCGCACUCCUACGGGAGGCAGCAAUUAGGAAUCUUGCGCAAUGGGGGCAACCCUGACGCAGCGACACAGCGUGGAGGAUGAAGGUCUUCGGAUUGUAAACUCCUUUUAUAUGGGAAGAAUAAAUGACUGUACCAUAUGAAUAAGUACCUGCUAACUACGUGCCAGAAGCAUCGGUGAUGCGUAGGGUACAAACGUUAUCCGGAUUUACUGGGCGUAUAGAGAUGCGUAGGCGGUUUGAUAAGUCGUAAGUUAAAGACCUCGGCUCAACCGAGGGAGAGCUUUCGAAACUAUCAGACUUGAGACAUAGAGGGGUGA